CCUGGUGGCUCAGACGGUGAAGUGUCUGCCUGCAAUGCAGGAGACCCAGGUUCGAUCCCUGGGUCAGGA
rnacentral:tRNA from 1 species